rnacentral:tRNA from 6 species
GAUCCAGUAGCUCAGUCGGCAGAGCACCUGCCUUUUAAGCAGGGUGUCCGGGGUUCGAAUCCCCGCUGGAUCACCA